CCUACGGGAGGCAGCAGUGAGGAAUAUUGGUCAAUGGUCGGGAGACUGAACCAGCCAAGCCGCGUGAGGGAUGAAGGUACAGAGUAUCGUAAACCUCUUUUGUCAGGGAACAAAGGCGGGGACGUGUCCCCGGAUGAGUGUACCUGAAGAAAAAGCAUCGGCUAACUCCGUGCGAGCAGCCGCGGUAAUACGGUGGAUGCGAGAGUUAGCUGUAGUUAGUGGGUUGAAAGGGUGCGAAGGCGGUCUGGUAAGUCAGCGGUAAAAGCCCGGGGCUCAACCCCGGCCCGCCGUUGAAACUGGCAGUCUCGAGUUGGAGAGAAGUAUGCGGAAUGCGCGGUGUAGCGGUGAAAUGCAUAGAUAUCGCGCAGAACUCCGAUUGCGAAGGCAGCAUGCCGGCUCCACACUGACGCUGAGGCACGAAAGCGUGGGUAUCGAACAGGAUUAGAUACCCUAGUAGUC
rnacentral:rRNA from 1 species